rnacentral:rRNA from 1 species
GACGAACGCUGGCGGCGUGCUUAACACAUGCAAGUCGAGCGGUAAGGCCUUUCGGGGUACACGAGCGGCGAACGGGUGAGUAACACGUGGGUGAUCUGCCCUGCACUUCGGGAUAAGCCUGGGAAACUGGGUCUAAUACCGGAUAUGACCUCCUAUCGCAUGGUGGGUGGUGGAUAGAUUUAUCGGUGCAGGAUGGGCCCGCGGCCUAUCAGCUUGUUGGUGGGGUAAUGGCCUACCAAGGCGACGACGGGUAGCCGACCUGAGAGGGUGACCGGCCACACUGGGACUGAGACACGGCCCAGACUCCUACGGGAGGCAGCAGUGGGGAAUAUUGCACAAUGGGCGAAAGCCUGAUGCAGCGACGCCGCGUGAGGGAUGACGGCCUUCGGGUUGUAAACCUCUUUCAGCAGGGACGAAGCGCAAGUGACGGUACCUGCAGAAGAAGCACCGGCUAACUACGUG